rnacentral:rRNA from 1 species
AAGUCCCGCAAGGGAUUAGUAGAGUGGCAAACGGGUGAGUAACACGUGGGUGACCUGCCUUCGAGUGGGGGAUAACGUUCCGAAAGGGACGCUAAUACCGCAUGAACAUCCUGCCUUUGAACAGGUGGAGAUUAAAGCCGGGGAUCGCAAGACCUGGCGCUUGAAGAGGGGCCCGCGUCCGAUUAGCUAGUUGGUGGGGUAACGGCUCACCAAGGCAACGAUCGGUAGCCGGCCUGAGAGGGCGGACGGCCACACUGGGACUGAGACACGGCCCAGACUCCUACGGGAGGCAGCAGUAGGGAAUUGUUCGCAAUGGGCGCAAGCCUGACGACGCAACGCCGCGUGGAGGAUGAAGACCUUCGGG